rnacentral:lncRNA from 1 species
UCCAGGAGGACGCUCGCCUUCCACUGUCCACAGCCCCCAGGUGGGAAGGCCUUUUGGGGGCGGUCAGGCCACCUGCAGGAACAGAGUUCGAACCUUGUUCUAGAACGCGUCAUGGAAGUCAGCCUCCCUCCCCACCCUGGUUUCAGAUGUAGAAACUGAAACCCAGCUUGGGGACCGCCUUCCUGAGGACACAACGCUGGAAGAGUGUGUGAUGUCACGCCAGCCUCAGGGGAGGGUGCCGGCAGUCUUGCCCGGGCCACCAGCAACAGUGGCUCUCGAGGAAGGACCCGGAAGUUGGCCCGCAAAGCUGGCCCCAACCCACUCUGAUCUGUGGUCCCCUCCAUGGUUGCAGGAAGAGUGGUCUCUUUUGUCUUGGCUUACGAUCGUCCAGUCGGGGUGUCCUGGGGAGCACAUUGGACUCAUA